UUUGUCCUACGGGGGGCAGCAGUAGGGAAUCUUCCACAAUGGGCGAAAGCCUGAUGGAGCAACGCCGCGUGGGUGAAGAAGGUCUUCGGAUCGUAAACCCCUGUUGUUAGAGAAGAAAGUGCGUGAGAGUAACUGUUCACGUUUCGACGGUAUCUAACCAGAAAGCCACGGCUAACUACGUGCCAGCAGCCGCGUUAAUACGUAGGUGGCAAGCGUUAUCCGGAUUUAUUGGUCGUAAAGGGAACGCAGGCGGUCUUUUAAGUCUGAUGUGCAAGCCUUCGGCUUA
rnacentral:rRNA from 1 species